rnacentral:rRNA from 1 species
GGGGAACUGAAACAUCUAAGUACCCGCAGGAAGAGAAAGUAAGAACGAUUCCCCAAGUAGCGGCGAGCGAACGGGGAGGAGCCCAAACCGGCGGUGUCGCAAGGCAUGUGCCGGGGUUAUAGGACCGACAUAACGGACCAAGGAUUCUAGUGGAAGCGCAUGGAGCGGCGCGCCACAGCGGGUGAGAGCCCCUUACACGAAAGGA